AUACGGAAGGUCCGGGCGUUAUCCGGAUUUAUUGGGCUUAAAGGGAGCGCAGGCGGAGAUGCAAGCGUGACGUCAAAUUUCGGGGCUCAACCCCGUCUCGCGUCGCAAAAUGCGUCCCUUGGUUGCGGGAAGGGGCGGCGGGACUCCUGGUGGUGGGGGGAAAUGCAUAGGUAUCACGAAGAACUCCGAUCGCGAAGGCAGCCUUCCGGCCCGUCAACGACGCUCAUGCUCGAAGGUGCGGGUAUCAAACAGGAUUAGAUACCCUGGUAGUCCGCACAGUAAACGAUGGACACCCGCGGUUUGGCCUGUAUGGCUGAGCCGCCAAGCGAAAGCGUUAAGUGUCCCACCUGGGGAGUACGCCGGCAACGGUGAAACUCAAAGGAAUUGGCGGGG
rnacentral:rRNA from 1 species